GACGAACGCUGGCGGCGUGCCUAAUACAUGCAAGUAGAACGCACAGUUUAUACCGUAGCUUGCUACACCAUAGACUGUGAGUUGCGAACGGGUGAGUAACGCGUAGGUAACCUGCCUGGUAGCGGGGGAUAACUAUUGGAAACGAUAGCUAAUACCGCAUAAUAUUAAUUAUUGCAUGGUAAUUAAUUGAAAGGUGCAAUUGCACCACUACCAGAUGGACCUGCGUUGUAUUAGCUAGUAGGUGAGGUAACGGCUCACCUAGGCGACGAUACAUAGCCGACCUGAGAGGGUGAUCGGCCACACUGGGACUGAGACACGGCCCAGACUCCUACGGGAGGCAGCAGUAGGGAAUCUUCGGCAAUGGACGAAAGUCUGACCGAGCAACGCCGCGUGAGUGAAGAAGGUUUUCGGAUCGUAAAGCUCUGUUGUAAGAGAAGAACGGGUGUGAGAGUGGAAAGUUCACACUGUGACGGUAUCUUACCAGAAAGGGACGGCUAACUACGUG
rnacentral:rRNA from 1 species